AUUGAACGCUGGCGGCAGGCCUAACACAUGCAAGUCGGGCGAGUGGCGGACGGGUGAGUAAUGUAUGGGGACCUGCCUGAUGGCGGGGGAUAACUACUGGAAACGGUAGCUAAUACCGCAUACCCUCAGAUGUACCCAUAUGGGAUUAGCUAGUAGGUAAGGUAACGGCUAACCUAGGCGACGAUCCCUAGCUGGUCUGAGAGGAUGACCAGCCACACUGGAACGGAGACACGGGCCAGACUCCGACGGGAGGCAGCAGUGGGGAAUAUUGCACAAUGGGCGCAAGCCUGAUGCAGCCAUGCCGCGUGUAUGAAGAAGGCCUUCGGGUUGUAAAGUACUUUCAGUGGGGAGGCGUUACCGGCAGAAGAAGCACCGGCUAACUCCGUGCCAGCAGCCGCGGUAAUUC
rnacentral:rRNA from 1 species